UACGGAGGGAGCUAGCGUUGUUCGGAAUUACUGGGCGUAAAGCGCACGUAGGCGGCGAUUCAAGUCAGAGGUGAAAGCCCGGGGCUCAACCUCGGAACUGCCUUUGAAACUAGAUUGCUAGAAUCCUGGAGAGGUGAGUGGAAUUCCGAGUGUAGAGGUGAAAUUCGUAGAUAUUCGGAAGAACACCAGUGGCGAAGGCGACUCACUGGACAGGUAUUGACGCUGAGGUGCGAAAGCGUGGGGAGCAAACAGG
rnacentral:rRNA from 1 species